rnacentral:rRNA from 2 species
UCUGGUGAUUUGACGCAGUGGUUCCACCUGUUCUCAUUCCGAACACAGAAGUUAAGCACUGUAGUGCCGAUGAUACUCUUUGGGGAAAGUAGGUAGUCGCCGGAA